rnacentral:ncRNA from 1 species
UAAUAAAAUAAUUAUGUUUUUAUUAAUUUAUUAUAAAUUUAUUUUACAUAUAAAUUUUAGUAUGAAUUUUUAAUUAUUUUAAAAAUAAUUAAUUAAUUAGGUAGUAAUUAAUAUUAAAAAUUUAAGAAAUUAAGAUUUAGUAAUAUAAAAAUUAAUAACUAAUUUUGUGCCAGCAGUUGCGGUUAAACAAAUAUUAAAUUAAAUUAUUUCAGUUUAUAAUAAAUAAAAUAUGAAUUAAAAUAAAUAUUAAAUUAUUAGGUGAAAUUUUAAUUUAAUUAAAUUUUAUAUUAAUUUUAUGAUUUAAUAAAUUUAAAAAUAAACUAGGAUUAGAUACCCUAUUAUUAAAAAUUAAUUUAUAAUACUAAAAUAGUAAAUAAUAAUUUAUUGAAACUUAAAUAAUAUGGCGGUAUUUUAGUUCAUUUAGAGGAAUCUGUCUAAUAAUUGAUAAUCCACGAAUAAAUUUACUUAAUUUAGAAUUUUGUAUAUCAUUGUUAAAAAUAUUUUUUAGUAAAAUUAAUAUUUAAAAUUUAAAAUAAAAAUUUAAUUCAGAUCAAGAUGCAGAAUAUAAUUAAGAAUAUGAUGGAUUACAAUAAAUAUAUUUAAAUGGAUUUUUUUUUUGGAAUAAUAAAUUAAAAGUGGAUUUAAAUGUAAUUUUAAUUAAUUUAUUAAAAUGAUUAAAAAUUGAAAUAUGUACAUAUUGCCCGUCACUUUCAUUUAAAAGUUGAAAUAAGUCGUAACAAAGUAGAAGUACUGGAAAGUGUUUCUAGAAAGAU